AGAGUUUGAUCCUGGCUCAGAGCGAACGCUGGCGGCAGGCUUAACACAUGCAAGUCGAGCGGGCGUAGCAAUACGUCAGCGGCAGACGGGUGAGUAACGCGUGGGAACGUACCUUUUGGUUCGGAACAACACAGGGAAAACUUGUGCUAAUACCGGAUAAGCCCUUACGGGGAAAGAUUUAUCGCCGAAAGAUCGGCCCGCGUCUGAUUAGCUAGUUGGUGAGGUAACGGCUCACCAAGGCGACGAUCAGUAGCUGGUCUGAGAGGAUGAUCAGCCACAUUGGGACUGAGACACGGCCCAAACUCCUACGGGAGGCAGCAGUGGGGAAUAUUGGACAAUGGGCGCAAGCCUGAUCCAGCCAUGCCGCGUGAGUGAUGAAGGCCCUAGGGUUGUAAAGCUCUUUUGUGCGGGAAGAUAAUGACGGUACCGCAAGAAUAAGC
rnacentral:rRNA from 1 species